GACGAACGCUGGCGGCGUGCCUAAUACAUGCCAGUCGAACGAGAGCGACCGGUGCUUGCACUGGUCAAUCUAGUGGCGAACGGGUGAGUAACACGUGGGUAACCUGCCCAUCAGAGGGGGAUAACAUCCGGAAACGGAUGCUAAAACCGCAUAGGUCUUCGAACCGCAUGGUUUGAAGAGGAAAAGAGGCGCAAGCUUCUGCUGAUGGAUGGACCCGCGGUGCAUUAGCUAGUUGGUGAGGUAACGGCUCACCAAGGCCGUGAUGCAUAGCCGACCUGAGAGGGUGAUCGGCCACAUUGGGACUGAGACACGGCCCAAACUCCUACGGGAGGCAGCAGUAGGGAAUCUUCCGCAAUGGACGCAAGUCUAACGGAGCAACGCCGCGUGAGUGAAGAAGGUUUUCGGAUCGUAAAACUCUGUUGUUAGAGAAGAACAAGUGCUAGAGUAACUGUUAGCGCCUUGACGGUAUCUAACCAGAAAGCCACGGCUAACUACGUG
rnacentral:rRNA from 1 species